rnacentral:rRNA from 1 species
CGAAUUCGCCCUUCCUACGGGAGGCAGCAGUGGGGAAUUUUACGCAAUGGGGGAAACCCUGACGUAGCGACACCGCGUGAGCGAAGAAGCCCUCUGGGGUGUAAAGCUCUGUCAGCAGGGACGAAAAAAAUGACGGUACCUGCAGAGGAAGCAUCGGCUAACUACGUGCCAGCAGCCGCGGUAAGACGUAGGAUGCAAGCGUUGUCCGGAUUCAUUGGGCGUAAAGAGUUCGUAGGCGGUUUGUUAAGUCUGAUGUUAAAGAUCAGGGCCCAACCCUGAGAGCGCAUUGGAUACUGGCAGACUGGAGUGCAGUAGAGGCAAGUGGAAUUCCCAGUGUAGCGGUGAAAUGCGUAGAUAUUGGGAAGAACACCGGUGGCGCAGGCGACUUGCUGGGCUGUAACUGACGCUGAGGAACGAAAGCUAGGGGAGCAAAUGGGAUUAGAUACCCCAGUAGUCCUAGCUGUAAACGAUGGAUACUAGGCGUUGCAGGUAUCGACCCCUGCAGUGCCGCAGUUAACGCGAUAAGUAUCCCGCCUGAGUAGUACGGCCGCAAGGUUGAAACUCAAAGGAAUUGACGG